rnacentral:rRNA from 1 species
UACGAGGGGGGCAAGCGUUGUUCGGAAUUAUUGGGCGUAAGGGUGCGUAGGCGGUUUGGUAAGUCUGAUGUGAAAUCUAUGGGCUCAACUCAUAGUCUGCAUCGGAAACUGCCGGGCUUGAGUGUGGGAGAGGUGAGUGGAAUUCCUGGUGUAGCGGUGAAAUGCGUAGAUAUCAGGAGGAACACCGGUGGUGUAGACGGCUUUCUGGACCGACACUGACGCUGAGACACGAAAGCGUGGGUAGCAAACAGG